GAUGAACGCUAGCGGCAGGCCUAAUACAUGCAGGUCGGACGGGAUUCAGGAGCUUGCUUCUGAUGAGAGUGGCGCACGGGUGCGUAACACGUAUGUAACCUACCUUUAUCAGGGGGAUAGCCUCUCGAAAGAGAGAUUAAGCCCGCAUAAAAUCACAGCACAGCAUUGUGUAAUGAUCAAAUAUUUAUAGAAUAAAGAUGGGCAUGCGGAACAUUAGCUAAAUGGCGGGGUAACGGCCCACCAUGGCGACGAUGUUUAGGGGAUCUGAGAGCAUGGCCCCCCACACUGGUACUGAGACACGGACCAGACUCCUACGCGAGGCAGCAGUAAGGAAUAUUAGUCAAUGAGCGGAAGCCUGAACCAGCCAUGCCGCGUGCAGGAAGACGGCCCUACGGGUUGUAAACUGCUUUUAUACGAGAAUAAACCCAGAUACGUGUAUCUGGCUGAAGGUACUGAAAGAAUAAGGAUCGGCUAACUCCGUG
rnacentral:rRNA from 1 species